GGAUAUCAUCCUAUACUGUAAGUUAGCUCUGAGACACUACAGUAUAGAUGAUGUACUA
rnacentral:pre_miRNA from 1 species